rnacentral:lncRNA from 1 species
CUCUUUAUCAAGUCAUCUGAGAAUGGUAAUUUGUUGACGUGUUUCCAUUUUUUGCAGGAUGAUUUAGGAAGUGCCAUGGUACCAUGGGAGGACUUUACUUUAAACGCAAUAGAACAAAAGAAUGCAGAAAGGCAUGAGCAGUGGACAGAGGUGGGAGAAGCUCUUUAGAGCUGAUCCAAAUGAAAGUGGCUAGUGUGUGAGUCUGCUGAAUCCUGCAAAGCUGUGCCUGAGGCCUUGCAUGUUCCAUCAGGAUCUAAGCAAUAGGAUCAACCUACCAGAAAAGAUCCCCUGCUUCCCAACUUUGGAAACUACUCUCUGGUUCUUUGGCUCAUCUCUAAACCAGCUCCUUCAACAGGUGAAGUUGGACACCAACAUUUAUUUGUAUUUGGAAAAAAUAAAAUAAUAACACUUUCUAUACAUGUGUAUGAAGAACAAAUAAAUACCUGAGACUUAGACGAAUAAUUUGUUUGCCUUCAGAUAGUAUUUAUUUAGAGGCAUUGCUGUAAAGUUUACAAAUAGGCCCACUUAAUUUCAUCGUCUGUUGUUCACGUACUAAAAUAACGGCUUUGGGUUACUAAAUUGUAAGUGAAUAAGUUAGAAAGUUUAAAUCAGGCAGAGAUGUAGGAGGAUGGAUGACAAAUUAGAAGAUUGCCUUUUCCCAGG